rnacentral:rRNA from 1 species
AGUGGCGGACGGGUGAGGAAUACAUCGGAAUCUGCCCAGUCGUGGGGGAUAACUUAGGGAAACUUAAGCUAAUACCGCAUACGACCUACGGGUGAAAGAGGGGGAUCGCAAGACCUCUCGCAAUUGGAUGAGCCGAUGUCGGAUUAGCUUGUUGGCGGGGUAACGGCCCACCAAGGCGACGAUCCGUAGCUGAUCUGAGAGGAUGAUCAGCCACACUGGAACUGAGAUACGGUCCAGCCUCCUACGGGAGGCAGCAGUGGGGAAUAUUGGACAAUGGGCGAAAGCCUGAUCCAGCCAUGCCGCAUGGGUGAAGAAGGCCUUCGGGUUGUAAAGCUCUUUUAGUGAGGAAGAUAAUGACGGUACUCACAGAAGAAGUCCUGGCUAACUCCGUGCCAGCAGCCGCGGUAAUACGGAGAGGGCUAGCGUUAUUCGGAAUCAUUGGGCGUAAAGGGCGCGUANGCGGGUUAGUAAGUUAAAAGUGAAAUCCCAAGGCUCAACCUUGGAACUGCUUUUAAAACUGCUAGUCUAGAGAUUGAAAGAGGAUAGAGGAAUUCCUAGUGUAGAGGUGAAAUUCGUAAAUAUUAGGAGGAACACCAGUGGCGAA